rnacentral:rRNA from 1 species
UACGUAGGGGGCAAGCGUUGUCCGGAUUCAUUGGGCGUAAAGAGCGUGUAGGCGGCCAGGUAGGUCGGUUGUGAAAACUGGAGGCUCAACCUCGAGACGUCGAUGGAAACCAUCUGGCUAGAGUUCGGAAGAGGCGAGUGGAAUUCCCGGUGUAGCGGUGAAAUGCGCAGAUAUCGGGAGGAACACCAAUGGCGAAGGCAGCUCGCUGGGACGUUACUGACGCUGAGACGCGAAAGCGUGGGGAGCAAACAGG